rnacentral:rRNA from 1 species
AGGAUAAACGCUGGCGGCGUGCCUAACACAUGCAAGUCGAACGCGCUUUCGUCUUCGGAGGAGAGCGAGUGGCGGACGGGUGAGUAACACAUGGGUACCUACCCCACAGUGAGGGAUACCGGCGAGAAAUCGCCGACAAUACCGCAUAGGCUUCUCUUUGGAGACGAGGAGAAGCAAAGUUGCGCAAGCGACGCUGAGGGAUGGGCCUGUGGCCGAUUAGCUAGUUGGGGGGUAACGGCCUCCCAAGGCUUCGAUCGGUAGCUGGUCUGAGAGGACGAUCAGCCACACUGGGAUUGAGAACGGCCCAGACUCCUACGGGGGCAGCAGUGAGGAAUUUUCCGCAAUGGAGGCAACUCUGACGGAGCAACGCCGCGUGCAGGAUGAAGGUUUUCGGAUCGUAAACUGCUUUUCUCGGGGACGAGCAAGGACGGUACCCGAGGAAGAGCCCCGGCUAACUACGUGCCAGCAGCCC